rnacentral:rRNA from 1 species
CACGUAGGGGGCAAGCGUUGUCCGGAUUUAUUGGGCGUAAAGAGCUCGUAGGUGGUUCAGUAAGUCGGGUGUGAAACCUCCAGGCUCAACCUGGAGACGCCACCCGAUACUGCUGUGACUAGAGUCCAGUAGGGGAGCAUGGAAUUCCAGGUGUAGCGGUGAAAUGCGUAGAUAUCUGGAGGAACACCGGUGGCGAAGGCGGCAUCCUGGACCGGUAUUGACGCUGAGGCGCGAAAGCCAGGGAGCAAACGGG